CGGCGGACGGGUGAGUAACGCGUGGGUGACCUGCCCCAUACCGGGGGAUAACAGCUGGAAACGGCUGCUAAUACCGCAUAAGCGCACAGAGCUGCAUGGCUCGGUGUGAAAAACUCCGGUGGUAUGGGAUGGGCCCGCGUCUGAUUAGGCAGUUGGCGGGGUAACGGCCCACCAAACCGACGAUCAGUAGCCGGCCUGAGAGGGCGACCGGCCACAUUGGGACUGAGACACGGCCCAA
rnacentral:rRNA from 1 species